UUUUGCAGAAAAUAUUAGCUUAUUCGAUCCUCUAUCAGCCAAGACCACAUUGACUUUGACUUUCUGCAUAAGUCAAACAUCUUCAAAUCGUUUCUAAACAUUAAAAGCGAUGUUUGUUUACAAGAUGAAUAAUUCAAACCUAACUAACAAACGAAGACAAAUAUUUGAGUUUUUCUUGGUCAUAAAUUGCAAGAAGGUCCUCAAGUUUGAUAUCAAGUGAUAUUUCACCCUCCAUCUUUUUAGGAUCUAUGGUCGAUAUUGGUAAUGCGUUGUGACAGAUUGUGAUGUUUUCAAACUUUAAAGGCAAAUAGGAGGAUGAGGACCCAUAAUAUAAACCACUGAACAUACCAUCCUCAUUCCUCAGUUUCCUCAUUCUUCAAUUUUCCCCAGUCUCCGUUUACGUCAUUAUCCACUGAACAACUGCCGACCCUUUACCAACACAAAUCAACAAUUUUCCGUUCGGUUGGAAAUGCGCGUUGGUAAUAUUUGAUUUUAUUUUUUAUUUUUUAAGUAGUAGGGACAAUUUGGUAAAUAUGAGAAUGUUGCAGGGUGAGCUUCACCGAAUCGUUGUGGGUUUGAUUUUGCCCUACUCUCACUUUCCCUCUUCUCUAUCUAAUCACACGAUACCUCAGGUUGCAUCAUCCCCGAUCUGCAAUCAGUCGGCCAUCCCUUCCGCCUCCAGCCGACCAUUGCCUCCGCUAACGACAUCACCUCCGCCAUCACCGCCGGCAGCAAAUCCCUCCAGCUCCUUCAAAGUCGUCGACGCAACAUACCUUCUCCCUUCCACUGUUGGUACAACAUGAAACCCACCACCCCUUAAACAAGUAAAGUUGCUCCUCUUUCUCACAGUGUGAACGAAGAUCAACAUCGCCUCUCUCUCUCUCUUGCCGCCGCCACCACCGUCGAAGUCGCUGCUGCAGCUGGUGGACGAUCCGAUUUCAACUUUUUUUUUCCAAGUUUUGGUAAAAAAAACCCUAACUUAUUUUUUCUAUUACAUCGAUUGAGUUUUAGGUUUAAUUUGAUAAUUCGUAUUGGUUAACGGUAAUUAAAAUUAGAAUUGUGAAUAUUUGAACAAUGUAUCCAUCAGCAAUUAACUUCCACUUUGAUUUCUGGAUUGAAUUUUCAUUUUGAUUUGGAAGUUUUGUUUACCUACAAAAUUAAACCUUACGCUUUUCAUGACUGGGAGAUUAAGACACGUUGUGCUUGGUAUAAUCAACAAACUCGUUUCCUCACCCACCACAGAAGAACAAAAAUUCUAUCUUCUUAACAUAGUGAUUCAGAGUUAUGGCUAUGAUGCUGUAGCAGUUUUAUUGUUUUUAGUUUUGUCUAAAUAUGAUUUUUCCAUAUAUUGUUUGAAAUGUUUUGAACAUCUUGACAUCAUCAAAGCCGAAUUAGAAAAUGCAUGCCCUGGUGUAGUUUCUUGUGUUGAUCUUCUUGUGGUGGCGGCUUAUGAGAGUGUGAUUCUAGCUGGUGGACCAUUUUAUCUAGCUCACACAGGUAGAAAAGACAGUAAUCGAUCUUUCUCUCAACUCUCCUAUGAGCUUCCUAGUCCCUUAUAUGAUCUUUCUACAAAUAUUGCAAGAUUUGCAACAGGGGUUUUCACUGAUAAAGAAACAGUCACUCUUUUAGGUGCUCAUAGUACUGGAAUGAUUCACUGCAAGUUCUUUGAAAAAAGACUAUACAACUUUGGUGGAACAAAUAAACCAGACCUAUCAACGGAUUCUUAAUUUCUUGAAUUAUUAAGAUCAUUAUGCAACAACUGAUCCAAUCACCAUCAACAUGACCAUCAUCAUCACCUUCUUCAUCAAAAACUAGAAGGUAGCAGGAAAUGAAGAUGGAUUAUGAAGGAAAAAGGUUCAAGUUUUGGGAACUCUUUGACUUUUUCUGGAUGCUUUUGUUCUAGUUUAUAACCGUUAGAUUCUACUUCUGCACCAUGUUAACACUUAACAGUGAUAACUGUGUACAUAUUCGUGAAGUCAUUUGGUCAAAGGAAUGGAAAUGGUUUUAUUGUUAGUGGUGUACAUUGCAUAUGUAUACAAUGCAGGUAGUUUAGUAGGCUACAUUCUUCUAAGUGUUAGCAGUUGGUUUAUGGCCAUUUCAUGGCGUUUUGCUCCUUAUUUGUUCAAUCCAUCCGGUUUCAAGUGGCAAAAGACGGUAGAGGACUUCAGAGACCGGACAAAUUAGCUCUUCUAUAGAGGUGGAAUUAGUGUUAAAGGAGAAGAAAGUUGGGAAGCUUGGUGAGAUGAAGAAUUGAAGGGUUAUGGAGACGAUUUUGAGCCUACGGUUAUUCAUAUUCGAAUAUGGUGUUGUUUACAAAUUGGAUGUGCAAGAUUCAAAUACAUCAUUAUCCUGUUGAAGAAGCAGAGUGUGAAAGGGCAUAUGGGUUGGCUAGUGAUCUCUAUGUGUCAAUCUUUGAUCGUACAAAGGCCACCUGAGUUGCAAUGAGAGAAGCACAUGAAGAGGUUGUGCAAAAGGCGAUGUCCAUUUUUAACGUCAUUUCAGUGGGAUUUGGUUCUGCUAGACAAAAAUACGAAAAAGAAUUCAUAUGUUUUUGAAAAAGGCUUUUGAGGAUCAUAAAAAGAAAGACUUAUGUCUCAAACCAAAUUACCUUAGUUGAGAUGCAACACAGAAAAUAUGAGGAUAUUCAACAGAAAAAUGUCAACAAGAGAACGUGGAGUUUCAACAGAAAAAUAUGGAUGUUCAAGCAAAGUUUGAACAACUUGCACAAGCUUUGAAUGAGUAGGUUAAAACUUUUAUUAAUCAGUGAUAGAAUAUUAUGUAUCGAAUAAUAUUUUAUAUUUAAUUAGU